AUUGAACGCUGGCGGCAGGCCUAACACAUGCAAGUCGAGCGGAUGAAGAGAGCUUGCUCUCUGAUUUAGCGGCGGACGGGUGAGUAAUGCCUAGGAAUCUGCCUGGUAGUGGGGGAUAACGUUCCGAAAGGAACGCUAAUACCGCAUACGUCCUACGGGAGAAAGCAGGGGACCUUCGGGCCUUGCGCUAUCAGAUGAGCCUGGGUCGGAUUAGCUAGUUGGUGAGGUGAUGGCACACCAAGGCGACGAUCCGUAACUGGUCUGAGAGGAGAAUCAGUCACACUGGAACUGAGACACGGUCCAGACUCCUACGGGAGGCAGCAGUGGGGAAUAUUGGACAAUGGGCGAAAGCCUGAUCCAGCCAUGCCGCGUGUGUGAAGAAGGUCUUCGGAUUGUAAAGCACUUUAAGUUGGGAGGAAGGGUUGUAGAUUAAUACUCUGCAAUUUUGACGUUACCAACAGAAUAAGCACUGGCUAACUUCGUGCCAGCAGCCGCAGUAACAC
rnacentral:rRNA from 1 species